rnacentral:rRNA from 1 species
GAUGAACGCCGGCGGCGUGCUUAACACAUGCAAGUCGAACGGUGAAGCAGGAGCUUGCUCUUGUGGAUCAGUGGCGAACGGGUGAGUAUCACGUGAGCAACCUGCCCCUGACUCUGGGAUAAGCGCUGGAAACGGCGUCUAAUACUGGAUAUGUGAUGUGACCGCAUGGUCUGCAUCUGGAAAGAAUUUCGGUUGGGGAUGGGCUCGCGGCCUAUCAGCUUGUUGGUGAGGUAAUGGCUCACCAAGGCGUCGACGGGUAGCCGGCCUGAGAGGGUGACCGGCCACACUGGGACUGAGACACGGCCCAGACUCCUACGGGAGGCAGCAGUGGGGAAUAUUGCACAAUGGGCGGAAGCCUGAUGCAGCAACGCCGCGUGAGGGAUGACGGCCUUCGGGUUGUAAACCUCUUUUAGCAGGGAAGAAGCGAAAGUGACGGUACCUGCAGAAAAAGCACCGGCUAACUACGUGCCAGCCGCCGCAGUAA